rnacentral:rRNA from 1 species
GAUGAACGCUGGCGGCGUGCUUAAGACAUGCAAGUCGAACGGAGUGUGUAGCAAUACUCACUAAGUGGCGAAUGGGUGAGUAACACGUAGGUGACCUGCCCUGAAGUGCGGAAUAACAGUCCGAAAGGAUUGCUAAUACCGCAUGUGGUCCCGGGCGUUAGAGAACCGGGUCUAAAGCAGUAAUGCGCUUCAGGAGGGGCCUGCGGUCCAUCAGCUAGUUGGUAGGGAAUGGCCUACCAAGGCAACGACGGAUAGGGGACCUGAGGGGGU